GGCUAACUAGCUCAGAUGGUUAGAGCGUCGUACUAAUAUAGUAGACUGGGCAUCAAAUAUUAAUGCGAAGGUUGUUGGGUUCGAUUCCCACGUUGGCCA